GGCGGCGUGCUUAACACAUGCAAGUCGAACGAUGAAGCCCUUCGGGGUGGAUUAGUGGCGAACGGGUGAGUAACACGUGGGCAAUCUGCCCUUCACUCUGGGACAAGCCCUGGAAACGGGGUCUAAUACCGGAUAUGACCGUCUUGGGCAUCCUUGACGGUGUAAAGCUCCGGCGGUGAAGGAUGAGCCCGCGGCCUAUCAGCUUGUUGGUGAGGUAAUGGCUCACCAAGGCGACGACGGGUAGCCGGCCUGAGAGGGCGACCGGCCACACUGGGACUGAGACACGGUCCAGACUCCUACGGGAGGCAGCAGUGGGGAAUAUUGCACAAUGGGCGAAAGCCUGAUGCAGCGACGCCGCAUGAGGGAUGACGGCCUUCGGGUUGUUAACCUCUUUCAGCAGGGAAGAAGCGCAAGUGACGGUACCUGCAGAAGAAGCGCCGGCUAACUACGUGCCAGCAGCCGCGGUAAUACGUAGGGCGCAAGCGUUGUCCGGAAUUAUUGGGCGUAAAGAGCUCGUAGGCGGCUUGUCACGUCGGGUGUGAAAGCCCGGGGCUUAACCCCGGGUCUGCAUUCGAUACGGGCUAGCUAGAGUGUGGUAGGGGAGAUCGGAAUUCCUGGUGUAGCGGUGAAAUGCGCAGAUAUCAGGAGGAACACCGGUGGCGAAGGCGGAUCUCUGGGCCAUUACUGACGCUGAGGAGCGAAAGCGUGGGGAGCGAACAGGAUUAGAUACCCUGGUAGUCCACGCCGUAAACGGUGGGAACUAGGUGUUGGCGACAUUCCACGUCGUCGGUGCCGCAGCUAACGCAUUAAGUUCCCCGCCUGGGGAGUACGGCCGC
rnacentral:rRNA from 1 species